AGUGAACGCUGGCGGUAGGCCUAACACAUGCAAGUCGAACGGCAGCACAGUAAGAGCUUGCUCUUACGGGUGGCGAGUGGCGGACGGGUGAGGAAUACAUCGGAAUCUACUUUUUCGUGGGGGAUAACGUAGGAAACCUACGCCAAUACCGCAUACGACCUACGGGUGAAAGCAGGGGAUCUUUGGACCUUGCGCGAUUGAAUGAGCCGAUGUCGGAUUAGCUAGUUGGCGGGGUAAAGGCCCACCAAGGCGACGAUCCGUAGCUGGUCUGAGAGGAUGAUCAGCCACACUGGAACUGAGACACGGUCCAGACUCCUACGGGAGGCAGCAGUGGGGAAUAUUGGACAAUGGGCGCAAGCCUGAUCCAGCCAUACCGCGUGGGUGAAGAAGGCCUUCGGGUUGUAAAGCCCUUUUGUUGGGAAAGAAAAGCAGCAGGUUAAUACCCCGCUGUUCUGACGGUACCCAAAGAAUAAGCACCGGCUAACUUCGUG
rnacentral:rRNA from 1 species